rnacentral:rRNA from 1 species
UACGGGGGGGGCAAGCGUUGUUCGGAAUUACUGGGCGUAAAGGGCUUGUAGGUGGCCAACUAAGUCAGACGUGAAAUCCCUCGGCUUAACCGGGGAACUGCGUCUGAUACUGGAUGGCUCGAGUGUGGGAGAGGGAUGCGGAAUUCCAGGUGUAGCGGUGAAAUGCGUAGAUAUCUGGAGGAACACCGGUGGCGAAGGCGGCAUCCUGGACCAUAACUGACACUGAUAAGCGAAAGCCAGGGGAGCAAACAGG